CAUUUUCCUUUUUUUGCUCUCAGCCGGAGGACACUGAAUUCAGUCUUUGCGAUGACGAAUGCACAUAGAGCAGAGACUCCAUGGGGUGAACUGAUUAGUGUUACCUGAAGAUAGUUAACGUGUUCCCUGAGUCCUUCCCUUUGCAAACAGGGAAAUCUGGAAACAGCAGUUUUCAGACAGGUGGUAGGAUGGAUAUUUCUGGGCAGAAAGGAGCUGUCUCUGCCUCACCUUAGUGUUGCACUAAGAGGUAUGUCUCCCCAUGAAUCCAGCUCUGUCCCUCUGUCUUGCCUUUAUCAGUUCAUAGAAAUGCCAGGUAGCAGUCUCCUCCACUAAUAGGCUCAGCAGCAAGGUAGCCUCCUGCAGCGGUGCCUUCAGGGCAAAGGGUAAGGGAUACCCUCCCCAGCCUCUCUCCACCACCACACAUCUUCCCCGCUCUGUGAACAAGUAGGUGAAUUUGCAGAGCUUUAGGGAGACUCCCACCCGUCACAGACCAGACAGCUGCCUCCUGACCCUCUGCCCAGACUUCAGAGUCUAAACACGACUGCAGGGAGAGCUCGGUACCCCAAACCACAUUCAUACAUCAACAUUCAACAUCAGUCCCACCUAGUGCUCGGAGCAAUGGGUUUUUCACUCCUAGGUCCUGUUUUCUCAUCCGUAAAAUAGGAAGAACAGCCUCUAUCUUACGGCAAUAUUAAAUAAGCUCUAACAAGUGGCUCAGCAGUUUAAAGAUCCGGCCUCGUCACUGCUGUGGCUCAGUUUCUAUCCCUGGCCAGGGAACUCCUACAUGCCGUAGACACAGCCAAAAAAAUAAAAAAAUAAAAAGUUCAAACAGAACAUGUAAGCAUCCAAAAUUAUUCUUUUCAGGGAGUUCCCAUUGUGGCUCAGCAGGUUAAGAAACCAACUAGUAUCUGUGCAGAUGUGGGUUUGAUCCCUGGUCUCAAUCAGUGGGUUAAGAAUCUGGCAGUAUUGGGCACAGAAGCAGUUUGGAUCCAGCGUUUCUGUGGCUGUGGUGUAGGCCGAUAGCUGCAGCUCCGCUUUGACCCCUAGCCUGGGAACUUCCAUAUGCCGCAGAUGUGACCAUAAAAACAAACAAACCAAAUUAUUCUUUUCAGAGAGCAUCUCCCAGGACAGGGUGAGAACUCCCAGUUAACACCCUAUUAGCAUUUUGUAUGAGGAUCUGCAUCAAGCUGUCCCCUACUCAAAAGCUGUUCUCACCACAUGCCCAGCACGCUUCACCUGCACUGCCUCCCUUAAUCCUCAUGACAGUCCUCUGAGGCCAGUGCAGCUGUUCUCCCCAUUUCACAGAUGGCAAACUGGGGUGCAGGGAGGUUAACUAAAUGCCAGGACUGGGAUUCAAACCCACGUGACCUGGCUCCACCAUCACAUCUUGGCCACUGUGCUGUUUCACACACUGCACGGCCUACCGGGUGCCUGGGGCCAGAAGAGGCAAACACACGUGGUCUGAGAGCCCGUCUAGCUGUAACAUACCUGUCUUCUGCACUAAUCAGGGCUUGCCUCAAAUGAUGGCCCAAUGAUGGGAUGUUUAAUAUUCUGAGUGCUUUGAAAACUUCAAAUAUGUUUAAUAUCUGUAGUCUGUAAACACUUCCCUUGGACAGUCAGGAAUAAAAAUAGCAUAGCUUUUUAACAGCUAAUACUUUUAGCAGUUAGUUUGCCCUUACCCUCCUACAUUCUUUGGUUGAGACCCCCCAUGCCAUAAUAUAAGACAGAUUAUCAGGAGAAAAAAAAAUUUACGUGCUAUGUAUAGGAACCCUGCAAAGAUAUGAGGCACCAAAUGUGGCCAGAAAUUAAGACUUAUAUGCUGAGCUAGGAAUGCUUAGGAGACUGAGGCUUCAAAGAGAAGGGCAAAUGUUUAGUAAACCGAGUUUGCCCUGUUAUGCUCAGGUGAAAAAAUUAUCUCUGGAGGUAGAUUUCUUCCUGGUACAGGUCCCCUUUCUAAUAUAAAUUUUCCUUCUACUCUGUUUUCAGAGUUUCUCCUGUGUCUGCAGUUUCUCAAAAUAAUCCUUAUGCCAAAGAGCAAUCUUUUGGAUGGCACAUUCUGCUCCCCUUCACAGUUAAUCUAUCCUAGGAAUUGGGCUGAGUGCUUUACAUCAAUUCUAUCACUUAAUUUUCACAAAACUCUAUGAAAUAGGUGCUGUGACUCCACUCCUUUUACCGAUAGGACUCAGAAAGUUUAAAUAACUUGCCAGAAGUCACACAGCCAGUGAUAGCACCUACUUUGUAUGUUUGGGGGAUUAAAGGAGAUAACGCAUGUAUGCAAGUGUUUAGAAUAGAGCCUGGUAUACCAUGUAUAUUGUUCCCAGACUGUAUAGUGGUUCUUAGUAGGAUUCUUUGCCUCACUCUCUUAGGAGAGGCCAUUCUGACUUAGUCACCUUGGAAGGAGAUUUUUACCAACUAAAAUAACCCCACCAGUCACCAGCUAGCAGAAAGAUUUUCAAAUCAGCUGCUUAUGACAAAUGCCAGAGUCAUCAAAUUCUUUUAAUUAAAAUUAACUCUUGAAUCCCCAAUUUAUUCAGUUUCGUAAAUCUAAGACUAGGAAUUUUUAGGGAGAAUGAACUAUAGUCAGAGUCACAUCAUUUGUUUCUCAUUUUUCAUUUAAUUAUAUUCUUAUUUAAAAUUUUGGUGGAAAUCAUAUUUUAUAUCCUGCAAUAUGUCCAUUCCAACAGAAGAGACACUUUAUUGCUACCUCUUCCUUUACUAUCCUUUUUUCUUCUCAAAGCCUCUGGCUCCAUCCUGCCCCACCACCACCCCUCUAAGCCAACUCAAUCAUUGUUCCUGGCUCCAUAUUUGGAUGUACCUGGUUCCCGAUCUCUCCAGUUGGACUCUUGACCAAAGAGGUUAUUAGACGGGUAAGGCUUCCUCUUCCUAAUGACCACCACUCAUAGCAUAACUUGGAUAUAUAAUCAGAUGAAGACGAAGGGCAGAGAAUACAAAGAGUACCUGUCCCACCACACUCCAUGCUACCCUCUCCCAGCACAUGGGAGGGCCAGCACUCAGAGCCAGAGAAGACGAUUCUGGGGCUGUGGCUCAGUGGUUAAAGAACCCAACUAGAAUCCAUGAGGAUGUGGGUUCAGUUCCCUGGCCUCGCUCAGUGGGUUAAGGAUCUGGUGUUGCCGUGAGCUGUGGUGUAGGUUGCAGACAUAGCUCAGAUCCCACAUUGCUGUGGCAGUGGUGUAGGCCAGCAGCUGUAGCGCCAAUUAGACCCCUAGCCUGGGAACCUCCAUAUGCCACAGGUGCGGCC
rnacentral:lncRNA from 1 species